rnacentral:rRNA from 1 species
GACGAAGGGGGCUAGCGUUGUUCGGAAUUACUGGGCGUAAAGCGCGUGUAGGCGGUUUGCCAAGUCGGGUGUGAAAGCCUUGAGCUCAACUCAAGAAAUGCACUCGGUACUGGGUGACUAGAGGACCGGAGAGGAUAGUGGAAUUCCCAGUGUAGUGGUGAAAUACGUAGAGAUUGGGAAGAACACCAGUGGCGAAGGCGGCUAUCUGGACGGUUUCUGACGCUAAGACGCGAAAGCGUGGGGAGCAAACAGG